GUGAAGGUGAGAUGUUCUCCUCUUCAUUCCAUUUGGCAACAAAACCUCAAUGUCAAUCAGAAGUGAAUUUUUUAGAAUGAACUAUGUAAAUAAUCGAUGACCAGUUCAUUUUGUAUUGGAAGCCAAGGUCAAACCAAAUACCAAAUGUAUGCCAGAAAGAAGGAAGCCCUGCCCAGGGAACAGUGGGUUACAGAAGGCUUGGCUGCUGGGCACCUAGGGCUUCCCUCACACACUGGGGAGUCCCUUAAAGAUGGAAGUAAAGUUUCUGUGGACUUUGGGGCCAAAUGAAGCCUUCCCUCACAGCUGUCAUAUUGCUUAUAUCUUGGGGGGAUGAUCCCAGGAAUUCACAAUCCCAUGGACCUGCCUCUAAGCUUUCUGGGACUGCCCACGCAUUCCUGCCAGCCCUGCUCUGUUGUGGCUUGCCUGUGUGGGCACCUCAGGACAUUGCCCAGCUUCAAGGACUAUUCCCUCUUGUCUUCUUGGCUUCGGCCCUGUCUUCUCGCAUGCUGAGCAUCUUUCUUAUCCAAAGUCUAUUGAAAUCUUUUAAAAAUGUUAUUCCUUUCCAGUUACUAAAGAAAUGCAGCUUGGUUACUAAACAUUCAUGACAGAAACAGAAAGCUGAAGACCUUUCUAGACCUGGACUCUACCCCAGGGUGGUGCACAUUGCAGUCUCAAUGUGCUCAUUAGCUGAUUCGGUGACGUUUGGUAACAUGGCACAAUACCUCAUCAAAGGGAGUGAUUGAGGCUGGACCCUGAGCAGAGGACCUCAGCAUAUUGAAGAAACGUGGUAUCUGGGUGAGUAUGACCCCAGCCCUUCCACAAGAUUUGCCACCAGCUUCAUGGUCCUAUGGAGCUGGGAGUGGGAUAAGGAGGCACCUAACAUAGUCCCACACAAGCCCAACUUCCAGCUUAUGCUCCCUGGGAAUGGGCUGUAAGGAAAUACAGAGGGUCUGCUACACAUGACCUGUCAAAGUAGCAGGUGUCCCUCCCAACUCAUAAUGGCUUAGAAAUAAGUUAGAACAAACUGGCCACCAUAAUGAAAUACUUUUUUAACCCACAAAUUAUGUAAGUUGUAUGGGAACUUUAUUGUAGUUUACUGUUGAGAGAGGCUUACAUGGCAAGCUCCUUUGCACCACAAGGGGCUGCAUGUGUGAGGUGGGG
ensembl:lncRNA